ACAGGGGGAAAAGGGGAGAGAAAAACUCAUCAACAGCAAUGAACCAACCAACCAACCAACCAUGUGAUGUGAAGCUGGAAUAAGAAAUGUCAGCAGGGGAUUGCUAAGAAGGGAAUGGCUUCUGGAGUGAGCAGACUACCAGAGAACCCUGAGGACAACAAAGGACCGACUGAUCUCUCCUCUCACUAUGCAAGCUGAGAAUUACUGAUCUGCAAUAGACUCCUGCACCCCUGUGAAGCCUCAUAGAAGUAAAUGCGGCUCUGGGCAGACACUGGGGCUGUCCAUGCAGGGCUCUUUGCAGGAUGAGGAUCGAGGAAGGAAGGGAAAACAGUCAAGUGACAACAAACAUGGAAGCAUGGAGCCUUCGCAGCUCUGUACUAAUCUCACAAAUGUUGCCACUUAUGAUGGUCCAGUAUUAUCAGAGCUUCAGGAAGAACUGCAACAGUGGAGGACCUGGCGAUUUCUUCGAGGACCAGUUGCUGAGGGACAUAGCAAAAAAUUCAAGCUUGUUGGUGGUGGUCACGGAGCAGCUGCAGAUGGUGGAGUGCUGCUUCUGGGUCUAAGAAACGAGCACUGAUUGGUUGGAUUGCAUUGUAAUGCAGGUUUGGGACAAUGAGCAGAUGCAAAAAGCCACGUUCCUGGAUCUGUGGGCCAAGCUCAACCUGGCCCACCAGUGCAGGGACACUGCGUUGGCAGUUGAGAAAG